CCCUUGUGCCAGCAGCCGCGGUAAUUCCAGCUCCAAUAGCGUAUAUUAAAGUUGUUGCGGUAAAAAAGCUCGUAGUUGGAUUUCUGUUGAAGACGUCCGGUCCAUACCACGUAUGCGCAUCUGGCUCGGCUUCGGCAUCCUCUCGAAAGACGUUUCUGCGCUUGAUUGCGUGGAGCGGAUCUCGGGACUUUUACUUUGAGGAAAUUAGAGUGUUCACGGCAGGCUAUCGCCAGAAUACAUUAGCAUGGAAUAAUACUAUAGGAUCUCGGUUCUAUUUUGUUGGUUUCUAGAAUUGAGAUAAUGAUUAAUAGGGACAAUUGGGGGCAUUCGUAUCAACACGUUAGAGGUGAAAUUCUUGGAUCGUGUUGCGACGAACUACUGCGAAAGCAUUUGCCAAGGAUGUUUUCAUUGAUCAAGAACGAAAGUAAGGGGAUCGAAGACGAUUAGAUACCGUCGUAGUCUUUACCAUAAACUAUGCCAACUAGAGAUGGGACAUCGUUCACUUAAGACUUGUUCCGCACCUUAUGAGAUAUCAAAGUCUUUGGGUUCCGGGGGGAGUAUGGUCGCAAGUCUGAAACUUAAAGGAAUUGACGGAAGGGCACCACCAGGAGUGGAGCCUGCGGCUUAAUUUGACUCAACACGGGGAAACUCACCAGGUCCAGACAUAAUAAGGAUUGACAGAUUGAUAGCUCUUUCUUGAUUUUAUGGGUGGUGGUGCAUGGCCGUUCUUAGUUCGUGGAGUGAUUUGUCUGCUUAAUUGCGUUAACGAACGAGACCUUAACCUGCUAAAUAGGAGCGCCUAUCUCCGGAUAAGCGCCUUUCUUCUUAGAGGGACUUUAUGCGUUUCAGCAUGAGGAAGUUUGAGGCUAAAACAGGUCUGUGAUGCCCAAGGG
rnacentral:rRNA from 1 species